rnacentral:rRNA from 1 species
UACGUAGGGUGCAAGCGUUAAUCGGAAUUACUGGGCGUAAAGCGUGCGCAGGCGGUGAUGUAAGACAGGUGUGAAAUCCCCGGGCUUAACCUGGGAACUGCAUUUGUGACUGCAUCGCUGGAGUGCGGCAGAGGGGGAUGGAAUUCCCGGUGUAGCAGUGAAAUGCGUAGAUAUCGGGAGGAAUACCGAUGGCGAAGGCAGGUCUCUGGGCUAUAACUGACGCUCAUGCACGAAAGCGUGGGGAGCAAACAGG